AACGAACGCUGGCGGCAUGCCUAACACAUGCAAGUCGAACGAGACCUUCGGGUCUAGUGGCGCACGGGUGCGUAACGCGUGGGAACCUGCCCUUAGGUUCGGAAUAACUCCCCGAAAGGGGUGCUAAUACCGGAUAAUGUCUUCGGACCAAAGAUUUAUCGCCUUUGGAUGGGCCCGCGUUGGAUUAGCUAGUUGGUAGGGUAAAAGCCUACCAAGGCGACGAUCCAUAGCUGGUCUGAGAGGAUGAUCAGCCACACUGGGACUGAGACACGGCCCAGACUCCUACGGGAGGCAGCAGUGGGGAAUAAUGGACAAUGGGCGAAAGCCUGAUCCAGCAAUGCCGCGUGAGUGAUGAAGGCCUUAGGGUUGUAAAGCCCUUUUACCCGGGAUGAUAAUGACAGUACCGGGAGAAUAAGCUCCGGCUAACUCCGUG
rnacentral:rRNA from 1 species